CAUGGCCACCAGAUCCCUACCGCUGCAGCAUCAAUUCCUUGUCACCAUGAUCAAGGGUACAUAGCAGCAGCAUACAUAAGGAUAUGUACAUAUCAUGAAGCAAUUGUAAUCAGCAAGCAGCAGCCUUCUCUGUGUUCUCUGUAUAGAUGUGUAGUAACCAAGCAGCAGCAUGAACAAAAUUGCAGCAGCGGGCUGCUGCUCUCCUCUCUGAUCUCUCUCUAUAUGCAAUAGUAGUAUAGCAGAACAUCAAAAUUAGCUACCGCAGAGCAAUCUCGAAAAAAUAGUAGGAAUAUAAUUAAAAAGAUUCUAAUGUGUUUAUUUUGGCAUAUCGGAACAUUCAGUGUGUAUAUCUGAGUUCUACACCAGCUAUAAUGGCUGCCAAUCUUGGUUAAGUACUGAUCAAGUAGCACUCGGCUGAACAAAAGCAAUAAACUUCAGUCUUUAUGUCCAGAGAAAAUUAGGAAUAAUAGUGAGCAAAGCAUAUGAACAUAUCUCAUUAUUCAAAACUUAAGUUAACAGAUCUACAAUGUGCAUCCUUGUGCACAACCCAUCUCUAAGAAAUUGUUUGGAACAUCAUUGAUAGAAAUUUAUUAGCAGAAUUUAAGCUAUAACAUUGUAGGCAAUACAAAGGAAUUCAAAUGUAAGCUGAAUCUUCCUUGAACUUUCAGGCCUGGCCACUCCGACCCAUUAGUCAUUAGUUUAAAGUUCAAAACUGAUGAUAGAAUUGGACGAUGGCGUACCUUGGAUGGAGCACAUGCCGACAGUGUUUCGGCAAACUAAGUGGAGCAGCGAGAUUGAAAGCUUCGGGCGCAACUGGAACUGAUGCCAGACGGUGUACAGGAGGAGUUUACCUGAGCCGAUUGCACUCAUCCCUUGUCC
rnacentral:lncRNA from 1 species